rnacentral:rRNA from 2 species
UACAGAGGGUGCGAGCGUUAAUCGGAAUUACUGGGCGUAAAGCGUGCGUAGACGGUUAUUUAAGUCGGGUGUGAAAGCCCCGGGCUCAACCUGGGAAUUGCAUUCGAGACUGAAUAGCUAGGGUACGGUAGAGGGAAGUGGAAUUUCCGGUGUAGCGGUGAAAUGCGUAGAUAUCGGAAGGAACAUCAGUGGCGAAAGCGACUUCCUGGACCAGUACCGACGUUCAGGCACGAAAGCGUGGGGAGCAAACAGG